GUAGGGAAUAUUGGGCAAUGGUCGGAAGACUGACCCAGCCAUGCCGCGUGCAGGAAGACGGCCCUCUGGGUUGUAAACUGCUUUUAUCUGGGAAGAAAAAGGCCAUGCGUGGCAAAUUGCCGGUACCAGAUGAAUAAGCACCGGCUAACUCCGUGCCAGCAGCCGCGGUAAUACGGAGGGUGCGAGCGUUGUCCGGAUUUAUUGGGCUUAAAGGGUGCGUAGGCGGCUGAUUAAGUCAGCGGUGAAAGACUUCGGCUUAACCGGAGCAGUGCCGUUGAUACUGGUUGGCUUGAGUGUCGGAGGGGUACAUGGAAUUGAUGGUGUAGCGGUGAAAUGCAUAGAUACCAUCAGGAACACCGAUAGCGAAGGCAUUGUACUGGCCGACAACUGACGCUGAUGCACGAAAGUGUGGGGAUCGAACAGGAUUAGAUACCCGGGUAGUCC
rnacentral:rRNA from 1 species